rnacentral:misc_RNA from 1 species
CAAUACACUCUCAGCUGAAUUUUGUUAUUCGUGCUGGUCUUGGGCUGCGGAUGCCGGUGGUGAUUAUUCCACCCGCGCGCUCUCCCUAAACUUGCUGCACGACCGCAAGCACCCCCUUCUAGCUAGGUCAAUGGAGUGGUGUUACAAUCUUCCAGAAAGCCUGCUGGUAACCAUGCUUUGCGGCGUUAAAUAUUACGUCUCGUAUGAGACAUUGAAG